rnacentral:lncRNA from 1 species
CCCCUUAAGUUAAUUUUAAAAUAUCUAACAAAAAUUAUAUAGUCAAUAAAUCAUAUAUAUUUAUAUGUUUUUUAUUUAAAAAAAGUCAAAAGAAAAAAAAGCAUUUGUCUCAUUUAUUUAAAGGAAAGCUAGCAAAGAACAAUGCUGACAUCAGAUAAUAAUAAAAAUGACCCAAAAACCCAUAGUAAAUGACAGCAGUUGGUUGGAACAAACAGCUGGUUUUUUA